AGAUUUGCCUGCAGGUGAAGGAACAACAACCUGCUGCUACUCUACAACCUGCAGACACCAUCAGCUGGAACAGAUCCUGAAUGAUUCUGGAGCGAAGAGCAACCAACCAACUCUGAUCAGACCUUAAAACCUGCUGUUAACCCACUGCUGAUCACUGGCCUCCGUCCAUCUACAUGCGGCUGAUAAUGGAAGUGAACUGGGAGGUCUGGUUCAGGUUAGUUCUGCUGUUUUCAGUUUAGGUUUUAAUCUGUGACCACGAGACAAACAACAACCUGCUGGAUCCAAUAUUUAUUUAUAUCAAUCUAUCAAAAACUAAUUAUGAUGCAAAUGAUUAUUGUGUCUUUUUUCUGUUAAUACACUAACGCUACUUAAAUCACAGAGCCAGAAAUAUUGAUUUGCAUCUUCACUAAUCGUCCUGAUUGAUGUUUGAAUCCUGCAUCUUCUCAGGAGAAUAUUGACUGUAAAUACAAAUAUAGAUUAAAUCAUUAAUAGGUAUUUGUAAACCCUGAGUACUGUCUGCAGGUUAAGAAGGGAGGGCAGCAGCCUGAGAGGCGAAACCCGGGGCAAAGAAAGGCUGCAGACCAACGGCUGCUGUUCGUGAGGCUUCAUCACUGCGAGCGUCUGGAUUCUCACAGAGACGAUAAACUGAAACCGUCUUCACACUUCAGUCUGUGUGUUGAAGAUUUAUUGAUGAAAUGACACAAGGACAAACUUUAAAAACCUGCUGCUGUAAUACUGUCACUGAGGUCAAAGGUCACCACAUGUGAAAACAACAGGUAUGUUACAUAUCAACAUGUCAAUCAACACGUUUCCUGUUCCUGUCGUCACUUAUUGUUCCAUUAGUGUCGAUGUGUUUGCAGUCGUACGUUAAGACUCAUUUUCACUUUUUACUCAUUUUCACUUAGAAAUCCAGGAUUUGUUUGUUUGUUUGUUUGUUUAUAAUCCAACUUCUCCUGGAUUUCAGUUUCUUAAAUAAAUACCAAUAAUAAAUUUACAGGUUUUAUUGUGUCAGAAUAAAAACUGAAGAUAACGAGCCGUCGUAGCUUCGCUGCUUUUUAUUGUCCUGACGUUUCACACAAGACGUCACUGAGUUCAUAACGGUAACUCCAGGACUUUCCAGGUCAUUACAGGACUUUCAAGGUCUGUCUUAGAAGUCCAUCUUUACCUGAAAUUCUUCUGUCCUCCCACUGAAAAGCAACAGACGCAGAUAUGAAAACUCCUGCUGUUGGUACCUGGAAUCUCUCUCCAAAGUUCAAAAUAUUCCAGGACAUUCCAGGACUGUUUCAGUCUUUGUCGGGACAGAAGCUGAGUGAGUUUUAAAAAGCAGCUCAGAGAGAAAUGAGGCUGAAAAUGAAUUUGUAAAACAUGAAAAAACAGAAAAUGUGAGAGGAGAAUCUGCUGGUUAAUAAAAGUCGCUGUGAGCCGCACAGAGCAGAAAACCUACUGAACCAAACAGUAAAAACAAACAAACAAACAAACAAACAAACAAACAAACACAGACUGCUGCUCCAAUAAAACCUGAUUGUCUCUAAAAGAACAUUUAAGACGUCGCAUCACUCCGUCCGAGAGAGAGAGAGAGAGCUUCCUGAGUGUCGGGCAGGUUUCACUGCGGCCUUCUUUUGAGUUUUGUGUCUCUGUGUUUUUUUCACCCAGCGUUUUGGCUGCAGGCGUCUGUGUGUUUUUACUUUUUGUCACUUUGUGCUCAGAGUCCUGCUGCCGUGUACAUACGAGGUUUUAUCAGGACUCUGCUGAUGUGUACAGUCAGUCGACAUGAAGCCUUUUUUUUGUUUUUUAUUAUUGGACGUAAACAGUGUGAUGAUGAUGAUGAAGAUGUUUGGUUUUUGUUUUGUUUUUUGGGGGGAAAAUGUUGAAUCUGAUUUAGAAUCAUUUACAGAAAAUAAAAUAUUUUACAUCUUGAAGAAGCGA